rnacentral:sRNA from 1 species
ACACAAGCCUGUAGAGCAAAGUCCUCCCUCUUCUCCCAGAGCAGCAUGGACAUUGACAGCUCAAGCUUCCCCAUCUUGUUUUGCCAAUGUGCCUCAGUAAUGACCUGGAGAAAUUGGUCAGUUUCCAUGGCCUAGUCAAUCCUUGCUAUC